GGCCUUCCUGUAAAUAUAUUCAUUAUUAUCCUUGUGGAUUUUGCUACUGAGUCUGACAUCGUAGAAGGACCAUUCUUUAAUCAGAUUGGAUUUUGCACCUGAGUUUGACAUCGUAGGAGGAUCAUUCUUUCAUCAGAUUGGAUUUUGCUACUGAGUCUGACAUCGUAGA